rfam:TPA: Bos taurus chromosome 2, whole genome shotgun sequence.
UCCCUGAUGGCUCAAAUGGUAAAGCAUCCACCUUCAAUGCGGAAGACCCUGGUUCAAUCCCUGGGUCGGGAA